rnacentral:rRNA from 1 species
CGCCUGCCCUGUGACAAAAGUUCAACGGCCGCGGUAUUUUGACCGUGCAAAGGUAGCGCAAUCACUUGUCUUUUAAAUGAAGACCUGUAUGAAUGGCAUGACGAGGGCUUAACUGUCUCCUUUUUCCAGUCAAUGAAAUUGAUCUUCCCGUGCAGAAGCGGGAAUAUAGCCAUAAGACGAGAAGACCCUAUGGAGCUUUAGACACAAGACAGAUCUUGUUAAACACUUCAAAAUAAAGAAACAAACUAAAAGAACCCUGCCCUACUGUCUUCGGUUGGGGCGACCACGGGGAAAUAAAUAACCCCCACGCGGACUGGGAAAACAGUUCUCACAACCAAGAGCUACAGCUCUAAUCAACAGAAAAUCUGACCUCAAGAUCCGGCAACGCCGAUCAACGAACCGAGUUACCCUAGGGAUAACAGCGCAAUCCCCUUUUAGAGUCCAUAUCGACAAGGGGGUUUACGACCUCGAUGUUGGAUCAGGACAUCCUAAUGGUGCAGCAGCUAUUAAGGGUUCGUUUGUUCAACGAUUAAAGUCCU